UCUCGCUCGGCAUGGCCCCCGACGGCCGCUGCCGCAGCAGCUGGUCCAGCUCGGCCAGGUCCUCGGCGCCCCCGGCCCGCGCCCGCGCGGCUGGCGCAGCGGGUCCGGGGCGCGUCCCUCCGCCUGCUCGGGGCUCCGCGGCCGGCUCUGCCCGGCGGACUCCAGCGGCGGCGGCGGCGGCGGCGUCCGCGCACGUUGGCACCGGUUUGUCUGUCUCGCAGGGUCCAAGCCUUUAAAUUUCCUGCACUUUCAGCUCCAUCACCAUGGAAACCACUGACUCUCUCGGCGUUGCCCCCUCCCCCUCCUUCCCCCCAAACAACAACCCCACCCCCCACUUCUCCACCCCCGAGGAGCCGGAGCGGCACAGGCUCCGGGGGAAGCCGCCUGCACUCGCCGCGGCGGCGGCUUCGGCAGCGCCCAGGGCCGUGCCCCGCCGGACCCAGAUGCCCCGGGAGGCCGACAGCCCGGCUGCCCGCCGGAGCUCACAGGCGGCGGCGGCGGCGGCGGCGGCGGCGGCGGCUGCGGCGGCGGCAGCGGCGGUGGCGGCGGCGGUGGCGCUUGGCAGGUCUCCGCGCAAUUUUCUCUCUCCCCCACCACCCACCCCCCUUCUCCUCCUCCUGCAAAAUGCACCGCCCCCCUCCUUUCUCCUGGAGCAAUGCAACUGGGGCUCUAGGCGCCCCGCCAGGGCCAGUCCUGGGGAAAGCUCGCGGCGGCGCUGGAGCCGGGCUGGAGGGUGCAGGGCCGGUUGUGGGGGGUGCUCGAGGUGGGGCUGUGAGGGGUCCCGCUAGCUGGGUGCUUUGCACUGGGAGGGCAGCCGCGGGGCGGUGCCGGGGGCUCGUUCCUCGGUGCAGAGUCCGGCGCAAGGAAUUUCUCCAUGUGCACGGAGCUUUUUCCCCGGGCGCGUCUCGCCUUCCUCUCUCCGGAGCUGGCUCUGAGUCCCCUCCCCCCAGCGCGUACACACACACACUCACACACACACACACACACACACACACACACACACACACUUUGAGCAGGACUCCGAGAGCCGCAGCGUUGCGCAGCGUGAUGUAA
rnacentral:lncRNA from 12 species